rnacentral:rRNA from 1 species
AUUGAACGCUGGCGGCAGGCCUAACACAUGCAAGUCGAGCCGAUGAAGGGAGCUUGCUCCUGGAUUCAGCGGCGGACGGGUGAGUAAUGCCUAGGAAUCUGCCUGGUAGUGGGGGAUAACGUCCGGAAACGGGCGCUAAUACCGCAUACGUCCUGAGGGAGAAAGUGGGGGAUCUUCGGACCUCACGCUAUCAGAUGAGCCUAGGUCGGAUUAGCUAGUUGGUGGGGUAAAGGCCUACCAAGGCGACGAUCCGUAACUGGUCUGAGAGGAUGAUCAGUCACACUGGAACUGAGACACGGUCCAGACUCCUACGGGAGGCAGCAGUGGGGAAUAUUGGACAAUGGGCGAAAGCCUGAUCCAGCCAUGCCGCGUGUGUGAAGAAGGUCUUCGGAUUGUAAAGCACUUUAAGUUGGGAGGAAGGGCAGUAAGUUAAUACCUCGCUGUUUUGACGUUACCAACAGAAUAAGCACCGGCUAACUUCGUG